rnacentral:lncRNA from 1 species
CUCCCAUCAUUCAGACUGCCUUUAAUCCUGCACACAGACAGACUGAGAGCAUCAGGUAUUUACUAAAAACUAAGUGUAUAUUCACUGACAGAAUGUGAGUCUGUCUGAGAGACUGCCUGAGACUGUGGGAGACUGCCUGAGACUGUGAGAGAGGAGCUGAGAGUGUCAGAGACUGCCUGAGAGUGUGAGAGACUGCCUGAGAGUGUGAGAGAGGAGCUGGGAGUGUGAGAGAGGAGCUGGGAGUGUGAGAGACUGCCUGAGAGUGUGAGAGAGGAGCUGGGAGUGUGAGAGACUGCCUGAGAGUGUGAGAGAGGAGCUGAGAGUGUGAGAGAGGAGCUGAGAGUGUGAGAGACUGCCUGAGAGUGUGAGAGACUGCCUGAGAGUGUGAGAGACUGCCUGAGAGUGUGAGAGACUGCCUGAGAGUGUGAGAGAGGAGCUGAGAGUGUGAGAGACUGCCUGAGAGUGUGAGAGAGGAGCUGAGAGUGUGAGAGACUCUGAGACUGUGAGUGAGUGUGAGAGACUGCCUGAGACUGCCUGGGAGUGUGAGAGACUGCAUGUGAGUGUGAGAGGAGCUGAUAGACUGAGAGUGACAGGGAUACUGAUAGACUGAGAGUGUGUCAGGGAGUCUGAGAGACUGUCUGAGAGUGUCAGGGAUACUGAGAGACUGUAUGAGAGUGUCAGGGAGACUGAGAGACUGUCUGAGAGUGUCAGGGAUACUGACAGACUGUCAGGGAUACUGAGAGACUGUCUGAGAGUGUGUCAGGGAGACUGAGAGACUGUCUGAGAGUGUCAGGGAUACUGAGAGUCUGUCUGAGAGUGUCAGGGAUACUGAGAGUCUGUCUGAGAGUAUGUCAGGGAUACUGAGAGUCUGUCUGAGAGAGUGUCAGGGAUACUGAGAGUCUGUCUGAGAGAGUGUCAGGGAGACUGAGAGACUGUCUGAGAGAGUGUCAGGGAGACUGAGAGACUGUCUGAGAGUGUCAGGGAGACUGAGAGACUGUCUGAGAGUGUCAGGGAUACUGAGAGACUGUCUGAGAGUCUGUCAGGGAUACUGAGAGACUCUGAGAGUGUCAGGGAUACUGAGAGACUGUCUGAGAGAGUGUCAGGGAUACUGAGAGACUGUCUGAGUGUGUCAGGGAGACUGAGAGACUGUCUGAGAGUGUCAGGGAUACUGAGAGACUGUCUGAGAGUGUCAGGGAUACUGAGAGACUGUCUGAGAGUGUCAGGGAUACUGAGAGACUGUCUGAGAGAGUGUCAGGGAUACUGAGAGACUGUCUGAGAGUGUGUCAGGGAUACUGAGAGACUGUCUGAGAGUGUGUCAGUGAUACUGAGAGACUGUCUGAGAGAGUGUCAGGGAUACUGAGAGACUGUCUGAGAGUGUCAGGGAUACUGAGAGACUGAGAGUGUCUGGGAUACUGAGAGACUGUCUGAGAGUGUCAGGGAUACUGAGAGACUGACUGAGAGUGUCAGGGAUACUGAGAGACAGUGUGUCAGGGAUACUGAGAGACUGUCAGGGAGACUGAGAGACUGUCUGAGAGAGUGUCAGGGAUACUGAGAGACUGUGAGAGUGUUUCAGGGAUACUGGGAGACUGUAUGAGAGUGUCAGGGAUACUGAGAGAGUGUCAGGGAUACUGAGAGACUGUCUGAGAGAGUGUCAGGGAUACUGAGAGUGUCAGGGAUACUGAGAAACUGUCUGAGAGUGUCAGGGAUACUGAGAGACUGUCUGAGAGUGUCAGGGAUACUGCGAGACUGUCUGAGAGUGUCAGGGAUACCGCGAGACUGUCUGAGAGUGUCAGGGAUACUGAGAGACUGUCUGAGAGUGUGUCAGGGAUACUGAGAGUGUGUCAGGGAUACUGAGAGACUGUCUGAGAGUGUGUCAGGGAUACUGAGAGAGUGUCAGGGAUACUGAGAGACUGUCUGAGAGUGUGUCAGGGAUACUGAGAGAUGGUCUGAGAGUGUCAGGGAUACUGAGAGACGGUCUGAGAGUGUCAGGGAUGCUGAGAGACUGUCUGAGAGGGUGUCAGGGAUACCGAGAGACUGUCUGAGAGUGUCAGGGAUACUGAGAGACUGUCUGAGAGUGUGUCAGGGAUACUGAGAGAAUGUCUCUGAGAGUGUGUCAGGGAUACUGAGAGACUGUCUGAGAGUGUGUCAGGGAUACUGAGAGAUGGUCUGAGAGUGUCAGGGAUACUGAGAGACGGUCUGAGAGUGUCAGGGAUGCUGAGAGACUGUCUGAGUGUGUCAGGGAUGCUGAGAGACGGUCUGAGUGUGUCAGGGAUGCUGAGAGACGGUCUGAGAGUGUGUCAGGGAUACUGAGAGAUGGUCUGAGAGUGUCAGGGAUACUGAGAGAUGGUCUGAGAGUGUCAGGGAUGCUGAGAGACGGUCUGAGAGUGUCAGGGAUACUGCGAGACUGUCUGAGAGUGUGUCAGGGCUACUGAGAGACUGAGAGUGUCAGGGAUACUGAGAGACAGAGUGUCAGGGAUACUCAAAGACUGAGAGUGUCAGAGAGACUGUCUGAGAGUGUCAGGGUUACUGAGAGACUGUCUGAGAGUGUGUCAGGGCUACUGAGAGACUGUCUGAGAGUGUCAGGGAUACUGAGAGACUGUCUGAGAGAGUGUCAGGGAUACUGAGAGACCCUCUGAGAGUGUGUCAGGGAUACUGAGAGACCGACUGAGAGUGUGUCAGGGAUACUGAGAGACGGUCUGAGAGUGUCAGGGAUACUGAGAGACUGUCUAAGAGAGUGUCAUGGAUACUGAGAGACGUCUGAUAGUGUCAGACACUCUCAAAGACAUUCUGAGAGUGUCAGGGAUACUGAGAGACUGUCUGAGAGUGUGAGGGAUACUGAGAGACUGUCUGAGAGUUUGUCAGGGUUACUGAGAGACUGAGAGUGUCAGGGAUACUGAGAGUGUCAGGGAUACUGAGAGACUGAGAGUGUCAGGGAUACUGAGAGACUGACUGAGAGUGUGUCAGGGAUACUGAGAGACUGACUGAGAGUGUGUCAGGGAUACUGAGAGACUGACUGAGAGUGUGUCAGGGAUACUGAGAGACGGUCUGAGAGUGUCAGGGAUACUGAGAGACUGUUUGAGAGUGUCAGGGAUACUGAGAGACGUCUGAGAGUGUGUCAGGGAUACUGAGAGACUGUCUGAGAGUGUCAGGGAUACUGAGAGACGGUCUGAAUGUGUGUCAGGGAUACUGAGAGACUGUCUGAGAGAGUGUCAGGGAUACUGAGAGUGUGUCAGGGAUACUGAGAGACUGUCUGAGAGAGUGUCAGGGAUACUGAGAGACUGAGAGUGUCAGGGAUACUGAGAAACUGUCUGAGAGUUUCAGGGAUACUGCGAGACUGUCUGAGAGUGUGUCAGGGAUACUGAAAGACUGUCUGAGAGUGUCAGGGAUACUGAGAGACUGUCUGAGAGUGUGUCAGGGAUACUGAGAGACUGUCUGAGAGUGUAAGGGAUGCUGAGAGACGGUCUGAGUGUGUCAGGGUUACUGAGAGACUGUCUGAGAGUGUGCCAGGGAUGCUGAGAGACUGAGAGUGUCAGGGAUACUGAGAGACUGUCUGAGAGUGUGUCAGGGAUACUGAGAGACUGUCUGAGAGUGUCAGGGAUACUGAGAGACUGUCUGAGAGUGUGAGGGAUACUCAGACACUGUCUGAGAGUGUGUCAGGGAUGAGAGACUGAGAGAUACUGAGAGACUGUCUGAGAGUGUCAGGGAUACUGAGAGACUGACUGAGAGUGUCAGGGAUACUGAGAGACAGUGUGUCAGGGAUACUGAGAGACUGUCAGGGAGACUGAGAGACUGUCUGAGAGAGUGUCAGGGAUACUGAGAGACUGUGAGAGUGUUUCAGGGAUACUGGGAGACUGUAUGAGAGUGUCAGGGAUACUGAGAGAGUGUCAGGGAUACUGAGAGACUGUCUGAGAGAGUGUCAGGGAUACUGAGAGUGUCAGGGAUACUGAGAAACUGUCUGAGAGUGUCAGGGAUACUGAGAGACUGUCUGAGAGUGUCAGGGAUACUGCGAGACUGUCUGAGAGUGUCAGGGAUACCGCGAGACUGUCUGAGAGUGUCAGGGAUACUGAGAGACUGUCUGAGAGUGUGUCAGGGAUACUGAGAGUGUGUCAGGGAUACUGAGAGACUGUCUGAGAGUGUGUCAGGGAUACUGAGAGAGUGUCAGGGAUACUGAGAGACUGUCUGAGAGUGUGUCAGGGAUACUGAGAGAUGGUCUGAGAGUGUCAGGGAUACUGAGAGACGGUCUGAGAGUGUCAGGGGAUACUGCGAGACUGUCUGAGAGUGUCAGGGAUACCGCGAGACUGUCUGAGAGUGUCAGGGAUACUGAGAGACUGUCUGAGAGUGUGUCAGGGAUACUGAGAGUGUGUCAGGGAUACUGAGAGACUGUCUGAGAGUGUGUCAGGGAUACUGAGAGAGUGUCAGGGAUACUGAGAGACUGUCUGAGAGUGUGUCAGGGAUACUGAGAGAUGGUCUGAGAGUGUCAGGGAUACUGAGAGACGGUCUGAGAGUGUCAGGGAUGCUGAGAGACUGUCUGAGAGGGUGUCAGGGAUACCGAGAGACUGUCUGAGAGUGUCAGGGAUACUGAGAGACUGUGUCAGGGAUACUGAGAGACUGUCUGAGAGUGUGUCAGGGAUACUGAGAGAGUGUCAGGGAUACUGAGAGACUGUCUGAGAGUGUGUCAGGGAUACUGAGAGAUGGUCUGAGAGUGUCAGGGAUACUGAGAGACGGUCUGAGAGUGUCAGGGGUGCUGAGAGACUGAAUGUGUCAGGGAUGCUGAGAGACGGUCUGAGUGUGUCAGGGAUGCUGAGAGACGGUCUGAGUGUGUCAGGGAUGCUGAGAGACUGUCUGAGAGUGUGUCAGGGAUGCUGAGAGACUGUCUGACAGUGUGUCAGGGAUACUGAGAGAUGGUCUGAGAGUGUCAGGGAUACUGAGAGAUGGUCUGAGAGUGUCAGGGAUGCUGAGAGACGGUCUGAGAGUGUCAGGGAUGCUGAGAGACGGUCUGAGAGUGUCAGGGAUACUGCGAGACUGUCUGAGAGAGUGUCAGGGAUACUGCGAGACUGUCUGAGAGAGUGUCAGGGAUACUGAGAGUGUCAGGGAUACUGAGAAACUGUCUGAGAGUGUGUCAGGGCUACUGAGAGACUGAGUGUCAGGGAUACUGAGAGACAGAGUGUCAGGGAUACUCAAAGACUGAGAGUGUCAGAGAGACUGUCUGAGAGUGUCAGGGUUACUGAGAGACUGUCUGAGAGUGUGUCAGGGCUACUGAGAGACUGUCUGAGAGUGUCAGGGAUACUGAGAGACUGUCUGAGAGUGUGUCAGGUAUACUGAGACCGUCUGAGAGUGUCAGGGAUUGAGAGAUCUGUCUGAGAUGUCAGGGAUACCGAGAGACUGUCUGAGAGAGUGUCAGGGGAUACUGAGAGACCCUCUGAGAGUAAAAGUCAGGGAUACUCGAGAGACUGGACUGAGAGUGUGUCAGGGAUACUGAGAGACGGUCUGAGAGUGUCAGGGAUACUGAGAGACUGUCUAAGAGAGUGUCAUGGAUACUGAGAGACGUCUGAUAGUGUCAGACACUCUGAAAGACAUUCUGAGAGUGUCAGGGAUACUGAGAGACUGUCUGAGAGUGUGAGGGAUACUGAGAGACUGUCUGAGAGUUUGUCAGGGUUACUGAGAGACUGAGAGUGUCAGGGAUACUGAGAGUGUCAGGGAUACUGAGAGACUGAGAGUGUCAGGGAUACUGAGAGACUGACUGAGAGUGUGUCAGGGAUACUGAGAGACUGACUGAGAGUGUGUCAGGGAUACUGAGAGACGGUCUGAGAGUGUCAGGGAUACUGAGAGACUGUUUGAGAGUGUCAGGGAUACUGAGAGACGUCUGAGAGUGUGUCAGGGAUACUGAGAGACUGUCUGAGAGUGUCAGGGAUACUGAGAGACGGUCUGAAUGUGUGUCAGGGAUACUGAGAGACUGUCUGAGAGAGUGUCAGGGAUACUGAGAGUGUGUCAGGGAUACUGAGAGACUGUCUGAGAGAGUGUCAGGGAUACUGAGAGACUGAGAGUGUCAGGGAUACUGAGAAACUGUCUGAGAGUGUGCCAGGGAUGCUGAGAGACUGAGAGUGUCAGGGAUACUGAGAGACUGUCUGAGAGUGUGUCAGGGAUACUGAGAGACUGUCUGAGAGUAUGUCAGGGAUACUGAGAGACGGUCUGAGAGUGUCAGGGAUACUGAGAGACGUCUGAGAGUGCGUCAGGGAUACUGAGAGACUGACUGCGUGUGUGUCAGGGAUACUGAGAGACUGUCUGAGAGUGUCAGGGAUACUGAGAGACUGUCUGAGAGUGUCAGGGAUAUUGAGAGACUGUCUGAGCGAUUGUCAGGGAUACUGAGAGACUGUCUCAGAGUGUCAGGGAUACUCAAAGAAUGAGUGUGUCAGGGAUACUGAGAGACUGAGAGUGUCAGGGAUACUGAGAGACUGACUGAGAGUGUGUCAGGGAUACUGAGAGACUGUCUGAGAGAGUGUCAGGGAUACUGAGAGACUCUGAGAGUAUGUCAGGGAUACUGAGAGACGGUGUGAGAGUGUCAGGGAUACUGAGAGACAUCUGAGAGUGCGUCAUGGAUACUGAGAGACUGUCUGAGAGUGUCAGGGAUACUGAGAGACUGUCUGGGAGUGUGUCAGGGAUACUGAGAGACUGUCUGAGAGAGUGUCAGGGAUACUGAGAGACUGUCUGAGAGAGUGUCAGGGAUACUGAGAGACUGUCAGGGAUACUGAGAGACUGUCUGAGAGUAUGUCAGGGAUACUGAGAGACGGUCUGAGAGUGUCAGGGAUACUGAGAGACGUCUGAGAGUGCGUCAGGGAUACUGAGAGACUGACUGCGUGUGUGUCAGGGAUACUGAGAGACUGUCUGAGAGUGUCAGGGAUACUGAGAGACUGUCUGAGAGUGUCAGGGAUAUUGAGAGACUGUCUGAGCGAUUGUCAGGGAUACUGAGAGACUGUCUCAGAGUGUCAGGGAUACUCAAAGAAUGAGUGUGUCAGGGAUACUGAGAGACUGACUGAGAGUGUGUCAGGAAUACUGAGAGACUGACUGAGAGUGUGUCAGGGAUACUGAGAGACUGUCUGAGAGAGUGUCAGGGAUACUGAGAGACUCUGAGAGUAUGUCAGGGAUACUGAGAGACGGUGUGAGAGUGUCAGGGAUACUGAGAGACGUCUGAGAGUGCGUCGUGGAUACUGAGAGACUGUCUGAGAGUGUCAGGGAUACUGAGAGACUGUCUGGGAGUGUGUCAGGGAUACUGAGAGACUGAGAGUGUCAGGGAUACUGAGAGACUGUCUGAGAGAGUGUCAGGGAUACUGAGAGACUGACUGAGAGUGUGUCAGGGAUACUGAGAGACUGUCUGAGAGAGUGUCAGGGAUACUGAGAGACUGUCUGAGAGUGUCAGGGAUACUGAGAGACUCUGAGAGUAUGUCAGGGAUGCUGAGAGACAGUGUGAGAGUGUCAGGGAUACUGAGAGACGUCUGAGAGUGCGUCAUGGAUACUGAGAGACUGUCUGAGAGUGUCAGGGAUACUGAGAGACUGUCUGAGAGUGUGUCAGGGAUACUGAGAGAAUGUCUGAGAGUUUGUCAGGGAUGCUGAGAGACUGUCUGAGAGUGUGUCAGGGAUGCUGAGAGACGGUCUGAGAGUGUGUCAGGGAUACUGAGAGACGGUCUGAGAGAGUGUCAGGGAUACUAAUAGUCAGUCUGAGAGAGUGUCAGGGAUACUGAGAGACUGUCUGAGAGUAUGUCAGGGAUACUGAGAGACUGUCUGAGAGAGUGUCAGGGAUACUGAGAGACGGUCUAAGAGAGUGUCAGUGAUACUGAUAGUCGGUCUGAGAGUGUGUCAGGGAUACUGAGAGACUGUCUAAGAGAGUGUCAGGGAUACUGAGAGACUGUCUAAGAGAGUGUCAGGGAUACUGAGAGACUGUCUAAGAGAGUGUCAGGGAUACUGAGAGACGGUCUGAGAGUGUGUCAGGAAUACUGAGAGACGUCUGACAGUGUCAGGGAUACUGAGAGACUGUCUGAGAGACUGUCAGGGAUACUGAGAGACUGUCUGAGAGAGUGUCAGGGAUACUGAGAGACGGUCUAAGAGAGUGUCAGGGAUACUGAGAGACUGUCUGAGAGUGUGUCAGGGAUACUGAAAGACUGUCUGAGAGUGUGUCAGGGAUACUGAUAGUCGGUCUGAGAGUGUGUCAGGGAUACUGAGAGACGGUCUAAGAGAGUGUCAGGGAUACUGAGAGACUGUCUGAGAGAGUGUCAGGGAUACUGAGAGACCCUCUGAGAGUGUGUCAGGGAUACUGAGAGACGUCUGAUAGUGUCAGGGAUACUCAAAGACAUUCUGAGAGUGUCAGGGAUACUGAGAGACUGACUGAGAGUGUGUCAGGGAUGCUGAGAGACUGUCUGAGAGUGUCAGGGAUACUGAGAGACUGUCUGAGAGUGUCAGGGAUGCUGAGAGACGGUCUGAGAGUGUCAGGGAUACUGAGAGACUCUCUUUGGGAUGCCAGGAACAGUGAAUUACUCUUAUAUUUUCUAAUUUUAGAUUUAGUAUCCGUAACUGGAUCCUUACAAUCACCGGAUUCCUAAUAUUCUUAACUGGUUCUUUACAAUCACCGGAUUCUUAAUAUCAGUAACUGGAUUUUUACAAUCACCGGAUUCUUAAUAUCUGUAACUGGAACAAUCACCGGAUUCUUAAUAUCUGUAACUGGAACAAUCACCGCAUUCUUAAUAUCCGUAACUGGAUCUUUACAAUCACCGCACUCUUAAUAUCUGUAACUGGAACAAUCACCGGAUUCUUAAUAUCCGUAACUGGAACAAUCACCGCAUUCUUAAUAUCCGUAACUGGAUCUUUACAAUCACCGCAUUCUUAAUAUCUGUAACUGGAACAAUUACCGG